GCAUUGAUGGUCUAGCGGCUAUGACUGUGGCCUUCCAAGCCACCUACCCGGGUUCAAAUCCCGGUCGAUGCA
rnacentral:tRNA from 1 species